CCUACGGGGGGCUGCAGUCGAGAAUCUUUCACAAUGGGGGCAACCCUGAUGGAGCGACGCCGCGUGGAGGAUAAGGUCUUCGGAUUGUAAACUCCUGUCAUGCGAGAGCAAAGCCUGCAAAGGUCUGAUAGUAUCGCAAGAGGAAGAGACGGCUAACUCUGUGCCAGCAGCCGCGGUAAUACAGAGGUCUCAAGCGUUGUUCGGAAUUACUGGGCGUAAAGGGUGCGUAGGCUGCGUGGAAAGUCAGAUGUGAAAUCCGGGGGCUCAACCUCCGA
rnacentral:rRNA from 1 species